ACCUCGGCAGUGUAGAGGUAGCACGCGUCCUCAUUACGGAUGAGACGCAGGUUUGACUCCCGUCUGAGGUC